CGGGGGCAAGAGCCGCAUUGUAGAGCAGCGGAGCGCCGCGGCCGGCCCAUCCCGGAGCCUCGGUCCCGGCCGGCGGGUGGAGGGACGGCCGGCGGGGCCUCGAGCCCGCCGGGGUUCGAGAGGGCGUGCGCAGGGGAUGAGGCCGGGAAGGGGAGCCGAAAGGGAGGGAAAGGCAGAGAAAGAGCCCGGGAAGAAGGAGGUGGCGGGCCGAGGAGCCUAAGAAGAGCGCUGUGAAUGAGUUGGGCGCCUGAGCUCCGAGGGACUACUUCUCCCUUCGCUCCCUAAGGAAAGAUCUGGGGUCUCCUUGAUGAAGAAUCUUCUUUGGCUACCGUGAAGCUCCCUCAGUAGUCUUGUCUUUGUCCCUCUGCCCCAUGUUGGCCAGGUCCUGUUUCCAACUGGCUUGCCCAACUCCAAGAGCAUAGAGGCCUGGCGACUGACCCAAGCCAGGCCUUGGUUUCUGUCCAUUAGAACUGUGCAAACUGUGGGGCAGGCCCCAACGUUAGCAGAUUACAAGAACAAACUCUGCCUGGGAAGGCGGGAAAGACACUCUCCUGCUUCCUGAGGGGGUGGGAGGAGGCAAACCCAGAGGAAGAGCUCCCAGAUAGAAUUCAGUCCUCCAUUUUUCCUGCUUGUUGCAAUGGGGGCUGGGGGAGGCCUCCCCGAAGCUACUCAAUGGUCUGAAUGAAUCUCCACAGGGAGGAGUUGCUCCUCAGCUUCCGUCCCCUG